rnacentral:rRNA from 1 species
GCUUGUCUCAAAGAUUAAGCCAUGCAUGUCUAAGUAUAAAUAUCUAUACUGUGAAACUGCGUAUGGCUCAUUAAAUCAGUUAUAGUUUAUUUGAUGAUACCCCACUACAUGGAUAACCGUAGUAAUUCUAGAGCUAAUACAUGCGUCAAAUCCCGACUUUUUGGAAGGGAUGUAUUUAUUAGAUCCAACCAGCCCGGUUCGCCGGAGUCCCUGGUGAGUCAUAAUAACUGAGCGAAUCGCAUGGCCUUGUGCCGGCGAUGGUUCAUUCAAGUUUCUGCCCUAUCAGCUUUCGAUGGUAGGGUAUUGGCCUACCAUGGCGUUAACGGGUAACGGAGAAUUAGGGUUCGAUUCCGGAGAGGGAGCCUGAGAAACGGCUACCACAUCCAAGGAAGGCAGCAGG